UACCCGCAGCACAAGUGGUGGUCAUUAUUAUUGGGCCUAAAGCGUCCGUAGCUGGCUUGUUAGAUGCCUGGGUAAAUCGAUGCGCUCAACGUAUCGAAUUCCGGGUAGACCGGCAAGCUCGAGACCGGGAGAGGUGUAGGCUACUCGAGGGGUAGGGGUAAAAUCCUGUAAUCCUUCGGGGAGGACCAGUGGCGAAGGCGCUACACUAGACCGGCUCUGACAGUGAGGGACGAAGCCCUGGGGAGCAAACAGG
rnacentral:rRNA from 1 species